GGUUCCUGUCUUAAUGCCCUGUGAAAUAAGAUUUCCCCGCCUAUCAUCUGCUAACUGCUAUGGACUCAGGCUCAGAAAGGCCUUUGCUUCACCCAGGUGCCAGCCUCCACAGGUUCCAACCCAGGGGCCCAAGUUCCUUUUGGCCCUGACUCAGACACUAUUAGGACUGGCAAGUGAUAAGCAGAGUCCUAUACUCUCCUAUUGACUCAGACUACCAUAUCUUGAUCAUCCUUUUCCGUAGGAAUCGGAUAUAACAUCAUCCGGGUACCCAUGGCCAGCUGUGACUUCUCCAUCCGCACCUAUACCUAUGCAGAUACCCCUGAUGAUUUCCAGUUGCACAACUUCAGCCUCCCAGAGGAAGAUACCAAGCUCAAGAUACCCCUGAUUCACCGAGCCCUGCAGUUGGCCCGGCGUCCCGUUUCACUCCUUGCCAGCCCCUGGACAUCACCCACUUGGCUCAAGACCAAUGGAGCGGUGAAUGGGAAGGGGUCACUCAAGGGACAGCCCGGAGAUAUCUACCACCAGACCUGGGCCAGAUACUUUGUGAAGUAAGGGAUCAGCAAGGAUGAGGGAUCAGGACUAGCCUCCCAUUUAGCCAUGCUGAUCUAUGUCCCAAUCCUCAACCUAGUUCCACUUCCAGAUCUGCCUUUCCUCAGCUCACCUUUCUACCUUCUGGGCCUUUCAGACUUGGAUCUGUCAGUCUUGCCCACUCCAUCAGGCUUCCUGUUCUCUCAGUCUGGCCCACUUUCU
rnacentral:sRNA from 1 species